GACGAACGCUGGCGGCGUGCUUAACACAUGCAAGUCGAACGGAAAGGCCCUGCUUUUGUGGGGUGCUCGAGUGGCGAACGGGUGAGUAACACGUGAGUAACCUGCCCUUGACUUUGGGAUAACUUCAGGAAACUGGGGCUAAUACCGGAUAGGAGCUCCUGCUGCAUGGUGGGGGUUGGAAAGUUUCGGCGGUUGGGGAUGGACUCGCGGCUUAUCAGCUUGUUGGUGGGGUAGUGGCUUACCAAGGCUUUGACGGGUAGCCGGCCUGGGAGGGUGACCGGCCACAUUGGGACUGAGAUACGGCGCAGACUCCUACGGGAGGCAGCAGGGGGGAAUAUUGCACAAUGGGCGGAAGCCUGAUGCAGCAACGCCGCGUGCGGGAUGACGGCCUUCGGGUUGUAAACCGCUUUCGCCUGUGACGAAGCGUGAGUGACGGUAAUGGGUAAAGAAGCACCGGCUAACUACGUG
rnacentral:rRNA from 1 species